rnacentral:rRNA from 1 species
GGCCAUCGCUCAACGGAUAAAAGCUACCCUGGGGAUAACAGGCUUAUCUCCCCCAAGAGUCCACAUCGACGGGGAGGUUUGGCACCUCGAUGUCGGCUCAUCACAUCCUGGGGCUGUAGUAGGUCCCAAGGGUUGGGCUGUUCGCCCAUUAACGUGGUACGCGAGCUGGGUUCAGAACGUCGUGAGCCAGUUCGGUCCCUAUCCGUCGCAGGCGUAGGAAAUUUGAGAAGACCUGUCCUUAGUACGAGAGGACCGGGAUGGACGUACCUCUGGUGUACCAGUUGUUCUGCCAAGGGCAUGGCUGGGUAGCUAUG